AAGUCUGAUCCCAGCCAUUCCGCGUGCAGGAUGAAGGCCCUCGGGUUGUAAACUGCUUUUGUACGGAACGAAAAGGUCUCUAUUAAUACUAGGGGCUCAUGACGGUACCGUAAGAAUAAGCACCGGCUAACUACGUGCCAGCAGCCGCGGUAAUACGUAGGGUGCAAGCGUUAAUCGGAAUUACUGGGCGUAAAGCGUGCGCAGGCGGUUAUAUAAGACAGAUGUGAAAUCCCCGGGCUCAACCUGGGAACUGCAUUUGUGACUGUAUAGCUAGAGUACGGUAGAGGGGGAUGGAAUUCCGCGUGUAGCAGUGAAAUGCGUAGAUAUGCGGAGGAACACCGAUGGCGAAGGCAAUCCCCUGGACCUGUACUGACGCUCAUGCACGAAAGCGUGGGGAGCAAACAGGAUUAGAUACCCUGGUAGUCCACGCCCUAAACGAUGUCAACUGGUUGUUGGGUCUUCACUGACUCAGUAACGAAGCUAACGCGUGAAG
rnacentral:rRNA from 1 species